UUUUUUUCUAUUUUUUCUUUUUUCGUCAAAUAUAUAUUAAAAAAUACAAAAUAUUCAUUAAGAAUAGUGUUCUAAUUGACGAGCAGGUUAGGAUUUAUCGCUAACUUAUGUGAAUUUAUGUGAAAUAAUCCAAGGUUUGAAAAAUUCUCAAAAUUCAAAUAUUGUUCGGAUAACUGAGCAACUGGAUAAUAUAAAGAUAGGAUACUUUCUUUUAAAUCAGACUUUUGUACGACAAGAUUAUUAUUUUGAGUAUUGAUGUUUUCUUAAGAUCUACUUUUUCCUUUUUUUUGAUUCACUUUGUUUCCUUGUCCUUGAUUAGAAAGUUAAAGAUUGAAAUAACUGUUUUACUUCUUUAGUUUAACUAUAUCAUAUGUACAGAAAACAGUUCUUGAUAUCGGACUAAGAGAGGUAGAAGCACAAGAUUCAGACUAAUAUGAACAGAGAUUCGAAGAAAGUGACAUGAUACAGUCGUAUUCCUUGAAUCUUUUAACAACUCUUUAUUCUCUUAUCCUUCUUAAAGUAUUCAUACAUGUGCUUAUAAAAAAUUGUAGAAAGAAAUCUGUACGCAAAAUUUUUAUGAAAGAGAAUUUAGAAUUUAAUUUUCUGAAGAGAAAGAAAAAUUUGUCUUUGCUAAUUUCCUUAGUUAAAGAAAAUGAAAAAGGAUUGUAGCUAGAAGUCUAGAAAAUAUAGCAUUUAUAAUGAAGAAUCAUAGAAGAAGCUGCACUGCCAAUUUGAAGAAUGAUAGCUGGAAACAAAGGAAAUUUGAAAAGAUAUCUUUCGAGACAGACAUUGAGAAAUAUAUUCUGAUACAUAAUUGAAUUAGACAGUGGUAAUGAUGAUUCAUUGACAUUAGGAUCCAUUAUGUAAAAAUAACCAAAGCGAAUUUCUAUAAGAACCAGCAGAAAUUACAUCUUAUACAUCAAGGUGACAAGAAGUAUCACAGGCAUUUGCUCCUAGAUUCCUGUAAAUAUGAUGACCAUUUCAUUUUAUAAUAGUAAUGAAUUUAAAGAGUUUAUGGCUAUAUUGUAACUAGGAUAUCGGUGUCUUUGAUCCUAAAAGUGUUCUAAAGAGAUGACAAAAUCUCUAAAGAGAUGAAGAAAAUUUUAAAGAGAUGAUUAUGUGUAUAAGAAUAGAAACAAAAUUUUCUGUAGUAACUAGCAUAGCUUUCAUGGAAGGAUAUGGAAAUUGCAAGUCUUAUUAAUAAUCAUCUCAAAAUUAAUGAUAUGGGUAAACUUGAAAGAGUGAUGUCAGUGAAUUGUUUUUUUGGAAAUUGAAAGUAUGGAAUUGAAUUGAAGAUAUUGACUUAGAGACACCUUGCUUUUUGAGCCCAGAUAAACUUUUAGUACAUUUUAGUUUUUUUUUUUGAUGUGUGAACAUGAAUAAACUGGAGGAUUACAGUUCAAGAUUAUGUUUUUGAGGAUCUUUUUAAGCUAUUGAUGGACCAAUGCUUGAAGAUAGUAAUGUUAACUCCAAUUUAAAAAUUUGUUCUCUCUAUAAAGUUAUAAUAUGUUGACAGCAAUAACAAAAGAAAGAAGAUGCUCAUUAUCAUCAAUUACUAUAUUACAUCAAUCUGUUGCAGCAAUCCGGUUCUCAGAGUAACCUACAUAAGAACGUAUUCUAUAUCUUCUGGUUCCUUUGGCAGCUUCUAAGCUAAUGGUAUCUACUGAAUCCAAUUGGGAUUUUGCUCUCCAGCAGUAUUCUCCAACAGUAAUUACAUUUAGUUUAUAAAUGAAGAAUUUCUUAUGUAUAUCACUCAUAUAACAUAUAAAAUAUAAACGUACAAAUGAUGGAGAAAUACUCGAGUGAGUUUAGUUAUAUAACAAUCAGGAAGGAGGAUUAUUUCUUUUCAGAAGAAAAACGUACGCACGUCUUUGAAUAAAGAUUUAUAGGUUGAUGCAUAGAGAAAUGAGAGGAAUAUUUAUUAUAGUUUAAAUAAAUCUACAAAUCAUAGAGAAUUAUAACACAUAACAAAAAUAACAAACACAGAAAAUAGAAUAUAAUUUCAUUUAAAUGCCUAAUAAUAAAGAGAAAAUUUGUCAAAUGUAUACCAUUUUAUUGGAGACAUUCUUAAAUGGAAUAGAUCACUCCUGAACAUAUCAAACAUCGAUGAUACAUGUUAGCAAUGGCUUAGCGAACAUAGCUCUCUAAUUCAAUCAAAUUGGUUGGUCAAUUGUAAUAUAUAACACUCUUUAAGUAUAUUUUAAAUUUAAAAUUACUCCUUAAAGCUGAAUACAUGGAAAUCUUUUAACAUAUUUACAAUGGCAAAAUUUUAAGUUUGUAUGAGUAGUAGUAUAACAUGAUCUCUUGAUUAAGAGUUAAAACAUAAAAGCAUUUGCUGUUAUCUUUGCUAAGUUUUUCUAAAUAAAAUGUGGACAUGUUACUAUACUUGCAUUAUGGUAUAGAAUUCGACUUUCUUAUUGGAAUCAAAUGCGAUAAGUAUGAAGUUUAUAAAAACGAGUUUAUCGAUUACAUAUUUUCAUAUCUUUUCCUAUUCUGUGUAGAGACUCGUUUUUUUCCAUAAAAUUUUUAAUAAGUGUAUAUUAUGAUUGGAAAAUAUAAAUCUGAAUUUACAAAACUAUUCAAGAUAAAACUAACUUCUUAAACGUUACAAUU